rnacentral:rRNA from 1 species
CAAUAGCGUAUAUUAAAGUUGUUGCAGUUAAAAAGCUCGUAGUUGGAUUUCGGGUGGGAAUGGCCGGUCCGCCGUUUCGGUGUGCACUUGCUACGCCCACCUUGCUGCCGGGGACGUGCUCUUGAGUUCACGCUCGGGACACGGAGUCGGCGAGGUUACUUUGAGUAAAUUAGAGUGUUCAAAGCAGGCCUACGCUCUGAAUACAUUAGCAUGGAAUAACACGAUAGGACUCUGGCCUAUCUUGUUGGUCUGUAGGACCGGAGUAAUGAUUAAGAGGGACAGUCGGGGGCAUUCGUAUUUCAUUGUCAGAGGUGAAAUUCUUGGAUUUAUGAAAGACGAACUACUGCGAAAGCAUUUGCCAAGGAUGUUUUCAUUAA